GCGAGCGUGGUGAAAUGGCAGACACACCAGCUUGAGGGGCUGGCGCCGCAAGGCAUGGAGGUUCAAGUCCUCUCGCUCGCA
rnacentral:tRNA from 1 species